rnacentral:snoRNA from 1 species
ACUUGAUGAUUACCUAGAUGACGAGUCAGAUGUGUUGCACGAUGCUGACAACUUUAUUUUUUUACCAUUCAUGCAUUUCUGAUG